rnacentral:rRNA from 1 species
CUUAUAAGAGCCAAGUUGGGGGCAGUUCGGAGCGAUCGACGGGCAACUUGCUCCCUGCAGAUUAGCGGCGGACGGGUGAGUAACACGUGGGCAACCUGCCUAUAAGACUGGGAUAACUUCGGGAAACCGGAGCUAAUACCGGAUACGUUCUUUUCUCGCAUGAGAGAAGAUGGAAAGACGGUUUACGCUGUCACUUAUAGAUGGGCCCGCGGCGCAUUAGCUAGUUGGUGAGGUAAUGGCUCACCAAGGCGACGAUGCGUAGCCGACCUGAGAGGGUGAUCGGCCACACUGGGACUGAGACACGGCCCAGACUCCUACGGGAGGGCAGCAGUAGGGAAUCUUCCGCAAUGGACGAAAGUCUGACGGAGCAACGCCGCGUGAACGAAGAAGGCCUUCGGGUCGUAAAGUUCUGUUGUUAGGGAAGAACAAGUACCAAAGUAACUGCUGGUACCUUGACGGUACCUAACCAGAAAGGCCACGGGCUAACUACGUGCCGGCAGCCGCGGUAAUAGCGUAGGUGGGGAGGCGUU